rnacentral:rRNA from 1 species
AUUGAACGCUGGCGGCAUGCCUUACACAUGCAAGUCGAACGGCAGCACGGGAGCAAUCCUGGUGGCGAGUGGCGAACGGGUGAGUAAAGCAUCGGAACGUGCCCAGUCGUGGGGGAUAACGUAGCGAAAGCUACGCUAAUACCGCAUACGAUCUGUGGAUGAAAGCGGGGGACCGUAAGGCCUCGCGCGAUUGGAGCGGCCGAUGUCAGAUUAGGUAGUUGGUGAGGUAAAGGCUCACCAAGCCGACGAUCUGUAGCUGGUCUGAGAGGACGACCAGCAACACUGGGACUGAGACACGGCCCAGACUCCUACGGGAGGCAGCAGUGGGGAAUUUUGGACAAUGGGCGCAAGCCUGAUCCAGCAAUGCCGCGUGCAGGAUGAAGGCCUUCGGGUUGUAAACUGCUUUUGUACGGAGCGAAAAGGCUUCCACUAAUACUGGGGGCCCAUGACGGUACCGUAAGAAUAAGCACCGGCUAACUACGUGCCAGCAGCCGCGGUAAUAC